rnacentral:misc_RNA from 1 species
UUCACCAGGAAGUGGGAGGAAAUGGAAUGAGUUUACAUUAAAUUCAAGUUCAUCAUGAAGGGAAAUGUGGCUUUUUAUUUGGGAGUGUUAUUUUCCAAACUUUCCAGAGCAUAGCAUAAAUUUUGGCGCAGUAACAUUAAUAUUUCUGCGUCAAAAUGCACGAAAAUGCAAGCAAGUAGAAUGAACUUGAAAGACCUCAGAGAGGUUUCACGUCACAGACUAACCGUACGAUCAAGAUGUCUCGUAUCCCAUAAUUCCUUGAAUGCCCAAGCCAGAACACAUGACGAAGGAAAUAUUUUUUCCCAGGAGGAAGUCUUCGAAGCGAAUAGUCAUGAACGAACUGUUUUGCGACGAGUUGUUUCAGCAUUAUCCCUCGUCCUUAGACUUGGAAGAUUUGCGUUUAACGUAUAUCAAUAACUGUGUCUUGAACAGUUUUCUAAAUUACCACACCAUCAUAAUGAACGCACUAAUGAUCCACGCGAUACGAAGAUGUUCGUCGCAACCACAGACCUGGAAAACGUUUCUCUUGAGUCUUGCUGUUUCAGAUGUUGGCCUUGGUUUGGUUGUUCAGCCAUUUUACACUUUACUUCUGGUCAACUGGUUGCAACAGAACGAUUCUGGCUGUGAAACCAUUAUGAUUUUUCAGAUUUUGGGUAAUUUGUUUUCUACAGCUUCGUUCCUGGGUGUUGUAGCUCUAAGUGCAGACAGGUUCCUCGCUGUUCAACUUCAUCUCAGAUACCUGGUGGUUGUGACCCACAAGCGUGUUGUUGCUGUGGUGAUAUCGGUAUGGGUUGUGAGCGGAAUUGUUUCUUUGCUAACACUCUGGAAUCUUUACGAAACUCAAAGACUAAUUCGUAUAACUGGUGGAGUUAUUGGUCUUCUCCUAACAGUUCUGAUGUACACCAAGAUUUAUUUCGUCGUACGACGUCACAAGAUUCAGAUUCAGACACUGCGGCUGCAACGAGGCGAACAAACGUGCUCCAUGCUAAGUUUUGAUCGCCUCUUCAAUUCUGUAUCUGGUACAUUUUACGUGUAUCUCGCGUUUUUGGUUUGCUAUUUGCCCCAUAUUAUCUCCCUAGCUGCCAUUAAGAUGAACGGUUCGAACAUCUCUUUGAAGGAACUUUUCCUUUAUUCACUGAGUAUCUUGUACCUUAAUUCAUCUCUGAACCCUUUUAUUUACUGCUGGAAAUUGAGACACAUUCGAUGCGCUAUAAUGGACAUGCUUCGGAGCUUGGCCUGGAAGAGAAACCGCACGUCAAAUUAAUCAUAGGUCCUGUCAUUUUUGAUAUUCUAUACGCACGUUUUUUCUGUUCACAGACUGAAUGGAGUAUAACGAGAGAAAAUGCGGCAAGUAAGCCGCGAAGCGACGUUAAAAAACAGAUUUUUAUUUGAAACUGAGUUUUUUUAACGUGAUGAGUGAAUUGAAGAACAACUGUUAGGUAUACUGUAUGGAAGAUAAGUGUGCGGCGGUGAAAAGGUGACAAAUGAUGAGUCAGCUUGAUUUGCAUUUCUUUGCAUUAGAAGUUCCAAGAAAACAGAAAAGCAGAUAUUGCCAUUAGAAAUGAUAGCAAAAAGGACCAGUUGCGGUUUAGACGGUACGCUGCCAUUUCAGGCUGCAGCAGACUCAAGUUGUAAUUGGCAAGGUUCACGUUUGUUUGAAUGCGAGAGAUCGAAGAAGUCAGAUAUCUGCGCAUUUUAGGAACUUUAAAAAGAAAGUGACGUGUCGUCCUUAUCAUUAGUGUUAAGUGUUUUAUUUAUCAGAGACAGCAAAAAGCUUUUGUCUACAUAAAUUAACCCAUAAGAACACGUAACAUUCGCCAUUCGCUCUGACGAAGGGCUUCCGCUCGUAACGUCAGCUUUUUAACUCUUUACGGCGGCCAAUUUACAAUUUCAACUUAGUUGAUAUUCGCCAAACCAAUUUUGUGGCGCCUCAAUUUUUGAGCAUCUCUCGCUUUCAGUUUUUUAUUUGUAAGCUCACCGUCCUCAAAUCUGCAUCCAAAGUGAAGUCAUGAACAAAAAAUUAAAAAUUUUGAAGUGUUCAUAUUAUUCUAAA